CACUAUGAAUGGAGGAGCAGCAGAGGAGAGCCCGCCCGGUGCAGGAGUGAAGAAAGUUCAGAGCGGGGCAGAGGAGGAGCGCACAUGGCUCCCAGAGGGUCGGGAUGGCUGUUAUUACGCACGGCAGCGACACGUUUGAAAGUGAAAGAGAGAGAGAGAGAGAGAGAGAGAGAGAGCUGUCAGGCGAACAAUCCGUGCACAUGCGCGUCUCAGCCAACUUUACUGAGUUUUGAAAAAAGAAAAGUGAAAGACAGGACGUGUUGAGCGCCAGUGACGAUGAGGGGUUUUCAGAGGAGACCUUCUGAUGAAGAGGAGGAUGAGGACUGACAAACAGACUGAUCUGACAAGCAGGUUUCCACCACGUCGAGGCGGAGGGGAAACCACCGAGACCAUCUGAUGAUGUGCUGCUGAGGCGGUUUGGGGGAAUGACAUCAUGAGAUGGGUUGACUGGUGGGCGCAGACCGCAGCCGGAGGCAGAAGAGCUGCUGGGGUUGUGAGGCGAGGUUUGCAGAUGCUGCUUUAAAAAAAACACACACAAAUUUGCUGUGGAUUUUGUGAAGAAUUUGUUGAAAUGUUGAAGGGAAGAAUCCAUUCAUGAGGUCUGAGGGGGCCGUGAGGAAGGAUUGUGUUGUUUCUCUGCACCAGAUGACCAUUAAACACCUGCAGGAUUUUCCAAGUGCUCCACGCCCAGUGAGGUACAUCCUGAAUGCUGGUGACCACAGGAAGUAACACACAAGUCAAAGAUAGCGUAGACUCUGAAGGCGAGUGGGUUUAACAUUAGUUAUUUAUCAUAAAACCAGUUGCUGUGAGGCUUUAUCUUCAAAUGUUGAAUCAUUAAGGGACUUAGAGUGAAAGAGGAACUAAGGGUGAUGGACUUUACAUGUAGGUAAGUUAAGUUAAGUGUAAUAUGUAUUUUUUUAUGUAUACAUAGUGAAAUAAAUAUUUUUUUAUUGUCAUGUCACUCGUGUUCCUGGAAGCUAAACACUUUAUAAAUAAAUCAGGCUUGAAGCUGACUUUUUGCUACAAAAAUAUACAAGGUGUUUGGAAUUAGAACAGUUUCUUAAACAAAGAAUUUAAUCUCAAGAACAAACAUUAAACCAACAGACACUGAGGUGUGAGUCGCUCAUCACAGGGAAGCAAGCGGAUCUGGAAAGUUCUGAUUGUAAACACUGGUGCUCACAGAUGAUCCAUUGAUCUGUCAAGUUAAUAACAGUCGUACAAUUUGUGCAGAAUCUUUUUUCCAAACAAUAGAAAAGACAGAUUUUAUUCACAUGUCCAUUAAACAUGUGUGUGUGUGUGUGUGUGUGUGUGUAGUAGCUAAUGCAUCUUCCCUUUAUUUUAAUAAUGCAUUUAAUAAAUUAAAUAACAAGUCAGUAUAUUCAGUGUAUAGAAACCAGGUCAUUGUGUACAGUCGGUGCAUCAAUGUAAUUUAAGGAUGUGAUUCAUGUUAUUUACAUUUUCUCAGUUAAUUAACUAUUAAAGGACAAAAUGUUAAGUUUCAAAAACUCCAAGUUAACGUCCUUAGUUUCUUUGUUUUUUCCAACACUUUUACAGACAGACUUAUGUUGACUUUUGCCGGCCAAUGCCAAUAAUGAUUUUAGAGAGUUAAAAAUGUCCACUACCGAUUUAUGGGCUAAUAUGUAUACAUCUAAAACGUUAAAUGUUGAAUUUAAAUUUACAGAUUAAUCAUAAACUUAUUUAUAAAUCAAAAAUCACAAAUAGAACCAAAUAUAUAGAACUUGAAAUAACAUAUUCAAUAUUUUACAACUUUUCCUCAAUGCUUAUUCUGUAAAAUAAACGUUUUCAUACCUUUGCAUACCAUUAUUUUUUAAUAUAUAUAUACAGUAUAUAAAUAUAUAUUAUAUUUUCUGUCUCAAGUGGAUCAAGUGUGUGGGACUGAUUGAAAGAAGAAAACAGAAAAUCAUUAAAUCUUAAUCAUCUCCAUUAAGCUUGUUAAAGUAAAUAUUAAAGUAACGUGAGGAAAAUGUGAUUUUCACAAUAGGAUCCCUCAGAGGGAAAGGUUCAUACAAUAUUAUUUAAGAGUACAAAAUAGAAAUAACUUCAUUGAUUAUAUUUGAACAGCCUCAUAGCUUCAAAAUUCAUAGUUUCAUAACCUAUGUUUGUUCCUGCUGAGGAACGCUCAGGGUCUGAAUCACGCAUAGGUCUGUUUACAGGUUUCAUAACCCUCAGGCUGUUGUCACACAGUAACACAAUAUUGUCUCAUUUCAAAAUGUGGUCACCAGUGUAAACAAGCGUCAUUCCUGAUAUUACUUACACAUUUUCCCCUCGAGAGAUUUUCCUGUUAUUCCCCAGAUGAACUGAAUUAUGUUCAUUCACAAAAAAAGACAAAAAUUAACAAAAAUGUUUUAAACCGGAGGGAAACUAAAUUAAAAUAAACUGUAUACUGCUUUUAACCGAGAGAAAGAACUGACCUGUGAUGACACAUGUUAGGAUGAGCUGAUCUGUCUGAGACACACAUACACACACACACACACACACACACACGUAUACACACUAUUCUCUGACUUGAUCUGCAUUAAUGUGAACGUGGCCUGAGACUGACUGUAAAUAAAAAUGGACGACAUGACGUCUCCCCUGAAGUGAAGCCAAAGCGUCUUGAUCCCUGCUGGUUGGCUGCUUAAUAGGUCAUGAGUCUCACCUCCUCCAUGUUAGCAGAUUGGACACGGUCAAACAUUAAGUACAUUUUUCUCAAAGAUUGUUUCUCAUCACUUUUUAAUUCGUUAUUUGAUGCUAUAAGCGAGGGUGAAACGUCUUGAUUGACAGCUGAGACUGACUCCUAAUUGGUCGGGCAUCUUUAUUUACAGUCUUUGUGAGAGACAUGUAACUUAGGGGAACUGUGCAGGUGCUCAAUCGCCCCCUGUAGGAGAGAAUAAGUUUGCAGAAAACCCCAAGAAUUAUUUAGUUUGAGACCUUUCAUAUAAAAACUUUUGAGUGUUUCUCCUUAAAUCCGUUUUAUGAUCAUAGCAACUUGUCAAAAGCCUGAAGGAAGCGUGUGUGUAUGUCUGGGCUUGAAAGAGAGCGUGUGAAAUAGGAAGAUGGGGACAAAACCUCGGACAGGAAAGAGUGUGUGUGAGAGAGGACAGAAGGAAAGAGAUAUUUAAAACUUCUAAAUUUUUUAUUUUGUUCAGUAAAGUUUAGCAGAAGUGAAUCCUGACUGUGAGAAAUUACAUUCCACCAAUAAAACGUCACACACUGA